AUAAUACGAAAGCUAUUGACAUACUAUCAAAUAAACGGCGAUAAAAAAUUAAUUUUCUAUACCUGAACUUCAGUUCAAUUGAAAGUCAUUUUACUUAAAAAUUAGUUACAGACGAAUAAAAAAGCGCUCCAUGUAUCUUUACAUUUAUUUACACAUAUAUUUAUCAACUGUCUUUUUCAUUUUAUAUUUAAACUCUAUCAUUCAAUGUUGAGAUAUAAAUAUAUAUUUUUUUUAUAAAAAUUGAACCAUUCGAAUUGAAAUUAUGAGAUGGAUGGAUGUAGGAGUGAUGAAAAUGGUAUAAUAAUAGGGAUGUCAAUGGGUACGGAUAUCUAAAAUUUUAUCCAAAUUCGGAUCCGAACAGAGCGUACUUAUUCGAUACUAAAUGAAUAUUGUUUCGAAUAUGGAUAUAAGAAAUAAAAACUCGACGGAUAUCGAUACGGAUAUAGAUUUUGACUGUACCCAAUCCGAACCCGAACUCUACCCGAAUCGAAAUUUAUUUUACAUUAUACAUAAUAUGUAUAUGAAAAUUUAAUAUUAUAUUUGAAUUUAUAUUUUAAAAAUUUAAAUUUAAUAUAAUAUAUUUUGAAAUAUUGAAAAGAGAAAUACUUGUUUCGGGUUCAGAUUUUUGGGUUCGGGUUCAGGUUUGAGUUUCGGGUUUGGAGUCAGGUUUGGGUUUGGAUUUUUGAAAUCCGCCCCGAAUCCGACCUGUUGACAUCCCUACCUCUACUGCUUGCAGUAUUUUAUCUCGUAGGCCAUUUCAUCAAAAUGGGUAAGUAAUGCUUGAUCUAGAUCAGAAUCAGAUCGGAGAGGUCGACCGUUCUCGGUCCGACCAUCAUCGAAGGUCUCGGGUCGCCUAUUCUCGACCUAUCGGUUCGAGUUCUUGUCAAAACUAGAGCUUCGCGGUGUAAAAAGACUCUGAUCGAACAAUUUCCUCACCGAUCUGCGCCUGAAACACAGUCAAAUCGCUUUCAUUUGGAGACAAGGAAGGGCAACUAACACAGUCCUACCAAAUUAUGGAUAGCAAGACCUUUCAAUGAGACCGACCCUUCCUAGAGCAAGUGGCAAAGGGCUUUGUGGUUGGUACCUGCGACCCAAGUUCAAGACCUUUCAAUGAGACCGACCGGCCCUAGAGCAAGUGGCAAAGAGCUUGGUGGUUGGUACCCGAGACCCAAGUUCGAAUCCUAGUUGAUUCACAUUUCUUGCUAAAUUUAUUUUUAAAUGAAAUAAACGAAGCGGGUAACGUGCUACCUAUCUCUCUCUCUCUCUCUCAAAAAAAAAAGACCUUUCAAUGAGCGAAAGUUAAAUUUUCCUCUUUCAAUUAUACAAGAAUAUUUUCAUACUAAAUAAAUGAAAAUUAUCAUCGAAUCGAAUAAGACCUUAUAUACUGAAUAAUAUAGGUGAAAAUGUAUAAAGCUUAUCUCAACUAUUACUCAUUUGGAUUUAACUAUCUACUUUUUAAAAAUUUUGAUUUUACUAUGUGGCUUUUUAUUUUAUUUUAUUUCAUUUGAGCCAUAUAGCGAUUAUUUAACUUUAAAAUUUGAAUGCGCUGUUUAUUUUUACGAAUUUAGGUUACAUACAAUUUAACUAACGAUAAAUUCAUUAAAUAACCAAUUAGUUUAAAUUUUGUAUCUUAAGAACCAUCAGAAUACUUAAAUCAAACCAAUUGAAAGAUUUGAUACUACAAUCAAAAUUUUAAAAGGUCGGAUAGUUAAAUCAAAAUAGUUUAUAGUUCAGAUAAGUUUUAUACAUUUUUACCAAUAAUAUAUCCUUAUAUCCAAAUGGGGCUUUCACUUGUUUGCCCCUUACUACUAUUGAAAGUUUUUAAAUUUCACCUUUCUAAAACCAAAUCCCAUUAGUAAAUUCUAAAGAGAAAGGCAGUAUUUGAAUUUUUUUUUUUCAAAAAAUCAAUAAAAAUAUUUUGAUUAUCUAGAAAUAAAUAGAAAAUAUUAGAUAGGAAUAAUAUUCAAUAUGCCCAUCAAAACUUUAAAAAUAUAGUAUUAUUUCUAGAGGAUCAAAAUAUUCUUAUUGAUUUUGAAGAUUUCUUCAAAUAUUCCUAUUUUUUCUAGAAUUUCCUAAUAGAUUGAAUUUAGAACGGUAUUUUAGUAAUUUCAAAAUAAAUCUGAAAAUUGAAUCAUAGUAAAAAAUAAAUAAAUAAAAGCCCUUAUUAGAUAUUAUCCUCAUUCACAUAGUUCCAUCCUUUUUUAUUUACUAGUAAAGAACCCGCGCUUCGCGGCGGAUAACCAAAUAAUGGUUAGUGUAUCUAAUUUCUUGUAUUAAAAUAAAAAUCAAAAAGUAAAUCUAAACAGAACUGAUAUAAUAAUUUGUUAAGCGAAUAACAAAGUGCUUACAAAACAAAUAUUAGAAGUAUAUAAAUAGAAAAUUUUAAAUUAUAUUUAACUACAUGCAGACAUGUUUAAAGUAGUUAGAUUAGUGGAUAACAAAGUGUCUAUUUAUAAAUAGAACUAUAUAAAUAGAACUGCAAUUCUUCAUUUCUGACUUCAUCUGCUUGAGGAGCUUCAUCAAACCUACAAAUCAACAAGAAUAAUAAUUAGAUAUGUUUUUUUGGUAUAAAUGAACAGCACGUGAUUAAAUACGACAAUUAAUUUACGUAAGACAAGUUGGGUCAAGUCGAUGUCUUUUGGCAGGUUGCAUUUCAGAUAAGUCCUCAGCAAGUUGUUCAGAACUGUUCAUAAAAAAAACACAUGAAAAAAUUUUAAAAAAUUACAUUCUCUCAAAAUAUUCUAAUAAUAGAAUUUAUAGCUGAAUUACCUAGUAUGAUGUCCAGAUCCCAAAAGCCAGUAAGUAUAGAAUGCAAAUUAAUUUGGAGAUAUAGCUAAGACAUUGCCAGUGUAUUAGUUUCAUCAAAAAAUGAGUUAUAGACAACGAAGUAAUACAUUUUUGUGUAGCAAUUUGCAAACAAAAGAGUCAAAUCUAAUCAGCUGUUUCAAUAGUUCAGACAUGCGCACGCACACACACAUGCAUCUCUCUCUCUCUCUCUCUCUCUAUAUCUAUACUAUUAUAUAAAAGCACGUAUAUUCAAAUUUGGGUCUGUCGACAGACCCAUAUUUCGGCGGGAAAAUUAGCGCCCAUUUUUCUCUUUCCGUACAAAAAAAAAUUUAAAUAUAAGAAUAAAAAUAGAAACCCUAAUGCAUACGUAUGUUCUCUAUAACCGAUUACUUAUAUUUUUCUAUUUUAUUUUAAAAUAUCUUUUUUAGGUAUUAUCUAUUUAAUUUUAAAAGUAAGUUUUCUAUAACAGAUUACGGGUGUGAAAAUCCUAUAAAAGAUAUUUUUCAAUUUAUUUUUAAAAUAUCUUUUUUUUGAUAUUUUUAGUAUGAAAAUCCUAUAAAAGAUAACGAAUUUUAUUUUUUCUUUUUUAUAUUAAUUUUCGAAUUUCAAAAUAUCUUUUCUUUUUAAGAUAACAGAUUUUAUUUUUCUAUUUAAUUUCAAAAUAUAUUUUUUUUUACAUUAAUUUCUGCUCAAAUGUAAUAUAUAAAUUUAACAAAUAUUUAUAAAUUUUUGAAUAAAUAUGAUUUACAAAUAUUUAUUGAUUUAAAAUAAAUUAAAAUAAUUGUUACGUGCAGUUGCACGUACACUCAACUAGUAUAUAUAUAUAUAUAUAUAUAUACUAGCGAUGUACCCGCGCUAACGCUACGGUCUACGGUGCACCAGGUGCACCGUAAAUAAUCGAAAGACACGUGGCAAUAUAUGAACCUAACUCCACGGACUUUAGUAUAUAGUAAUAGAUAGAUAUAAAAGAGCAACAAUUAACACACACAAAACAAAAACAAAAAACCUAAAUAAGCUGAGGCUCAGGUAUUAUUUCCAUCCAACCUUAAAAUAUAGGUUCAGGAGGAUACAAUGAAUAGGAAGAGUUGGUUGCCUAUAAAUUAGGCCAUCCAAAACCCUGUUCUCAUUUAACACAGCAAGCACAAUUGGAGAUUACACCCACCCUUAGGUAUCGUUUGGUUCGGGGAUAAGCCAAAAGUGACUAUUUCAGGAAUAGAUAUAAAUUGAGGCAUAAGUGGGGAUUAGAUCAAUUUUGCGUUUGGACGAAAAUUUGGUUAUUCCUGGAAAUAAAACAAAUAGCGUUUGGUUAAAUAAGAUGGAAUAAGAAGGAUAGGCUGAGAAGGAUUUAAUGAAUAGGAAGAGUUGGUUGUCUAUAAAUUAGACCAUCCGAAACUCAUUCCUCUAUUUUUCAAUCACCAUAGCCUCAAAGACAGUAGUCAGGAGAAUUAGAGAAAAUAACGAAUUCCAAGAGUUGAUUGCCUGGAAAUUAAAACAUCCAAAACUCUUCCCUCAUUUUUGCAGUCAUUACUGCAGCAAAGACAACAGUUAGCAUGAUUGGAAAUUAGAGAACCCAAAAUUCAUCCGUCGUUUUGUUAGUAGUGUAAAAACAAAACACACACCACACACACACCAUGUAAGGGCUGAAUCUAAUUAGUUACUUUCUUCUCUUUUUUUUUUGAGAAAGAGGUAGCAAGCUACCUGCUUCAUUCAUUAAGCGAAAUAAAUUUAGCGUACAUAAUGGAGACAGCUAAGGCCUCCUACAGAAACCGGCAAAACAACAAAAAAAAUAAUAAAAAGCAGUAUAGAUAUGUAAACAAAAGCCCGACUUGAGCUAUUAAAGAGCAGUUACGGGACAAUCGCCUCGGUCCAAGUCUUCGUUAGCGCAGCUAUCCGUCCAAUUGCACGGGUAGCGUUCGGAGUGUCCUCGUUGAAGACGAUCUUGUUGUGCUCCAUCCAAACUACCCACCAGAUUGCCGCCAACCGUGUGAACCUUAUCGAUCUUUGUUCAGCAUUAGGGGAGUCCGCAGUGUCGGUCCCAAGUUGCUUAACGUCCCCUGUUCUUAAAUCGCUGACACCCAAUCCAUCAACGCUAAUUUGGAGGUAUCUAACAAAAACGCAAUCCUUGAAAAGGUGAUCGCAAUUCUCAGGUGAGAAUGAAUAGAAAAUGCAGUACUCAUUCACCGGGCACCCUCUGCGUAUCAGUCUAUCAGCGGUAAGUAAUCUCUUGCGUAGUAGGAUCCAGAUGAAUAUUUUGNUCGCAGGUUUUCUCCUAAUUCAAUUUCCAAGUCCAACAUGUAUAACCUACUUAAUUUAUUACCACAUGCUCCAAAUUCAGAUUUGCAAUCUACAAUAUAAUCCAUGAAUUCGAGCUAGAAUAGAGUAUCCAAAAGUCGAAAAUAUACAUGCUGACGAAUAUGAACUUAGGAGUAAAAACCGAUGUAACCCACCUCGACAGCGACCCACGCACCGGCGCGACGUCGAGAACGACGAAAAUGCACCCUCGCCCGGCCUCCAACGGCACUACCACGACGCACGCACGCUCCAACGGCUCGCAGGCGCGAAGUUGACGUCGCUCCAAUCUCCAACUAUAGCCUCCACGAGUUCUCCACUUCCAACUAGAGAGAGAGGGAAAUUACAAAUCACCACUAUCCCUCUGUAGGCCACAAGAUAAGGAUGCAUAGGGGGUGCACGUGGCAUCCAAAGCCACCCCCAUGCAUCACCAACCGACUAAAAAAAUUUUAAAAAAUAAAUAAAUAAACAAGGGUACUACAUAAAGAGACUUAGAUAAAUAGUCAAGCUGCAAAUAAAGGCUGAAUAGAGGAGCACACCUUUCUGUAACCAUUUUGCAAACAAAGGGUUGAAUCUAAUUAGUUACUUUCAUAGUUCAUUUAACACACACACAUAUAUUUAAGUAUCUAGCUAAUUAGUUACAUUCAUGAUCAUAUAUAUAUAUAUAUAUAUAUAUAUAUAUAUGUAUACACACACACACACCACACACACACACAGAGGUGUAUACAUAUAGAGUUGAGCUGGAAUGCUAUCGGUAGCAAACGGGCUCCGUUGCCACCCAUUGUUUUCGAUGAUAGAGCUUUCAAAUCGACGAUCGGCACCGUUGAACAUGAUCUAUAUCACUUGUAGUAUUUAGAAAUUAAAUUUCAAAUCUUUUCGACAUCAUUUACCUAAUGAUCAAAGGGUUUCAAAAUUAGUAAUUUUAAUGGUUGAUAUGAGGGGUUUUCUCGUUUAACGGUGUAAAGCUAUUCAAAUCAAUUGAAUUUUGGUUAGAAAAUUCUUUAAACUAUUUAGAACAAGAUCUAUACUCUCGAUCAUGAUUACAAAAUUUCUAUCAUCACUUUUUAGAGGAUAUUCAUUUUCAGCCAUUCAUUUUUACACCCACUUGAUGGACAAGAAAACAAUAUCGGAAAAGUAUGAAAUUUGAUUUCUAGAUACUUCAAGUGGUAUAGAUCAUUUUCAACGGUACCGAUCGUCGAUUUGGAGGCUCCAUUAUCGAAAAAAAAUGGGUGGCAACGGAGCCCGUUUGCUACUGAUAGCAUUCCAGCUCAACUCUAUAUAUAUAUAUAUAUAUAUAUAUAUAUNNNNNNNNNUAUAUAUAUAAAUAUAUAUAUAUAUAUAUAUAUAUAUAUAUAUAUAUAUAUAUAUAUCUCAGGCCGAUGAUAUGAUAGAUAUCAUGCCCUCGAGGGCAUGAUAUCAUAACAAAAGCUAGAAGCCCGCAAGUUUAGUUGCUAGGUGUGGCAAUUUUAACUAGAUCCCAUAAAUUUCAAAAAUCUUUAUUUUAAAAUAUAAAAAAGCUGUAUCAAAUGAAAUACUAGUUUUGUAAAGUUUUAACAGUUUAAAGUUACCGAUAAUACUGCUCAAACCUCAAAUUGCCACAUCUUCUUAGAUUUAAAGAAGUUUAAAACUAUCUUUUAAGAAAUUUGAUAUAUCUAAUUCCAAUUGUAAGAACUAGAACUUAAAUUUUCAGGAUACGAGUUUAAAAUUUCUCAUAAGUUAAGGGUGGCAGAUAAAACUGUAUUAAAUAAAUGAUUCAUUUGCUAUAGCUUUUCUUGAUUUUAAAAUAAGGACUCUUGAAGUAUAUGGGAUCUAGUAUAAAUUGCCACACCUAGCAACUAAACUUGCGGGAUUCUAGCUUUUGUUGUGAUAUCAUGCCCUCGAGGGCAUGAUAUCUAUCAUAUCAUCGGAUUAAGUAUAUAUAUAUAUGUAUAUAUAUAUAUAUAUAUAUAUAUAUAUAUAUAUAUAUCUCAUUCCGAUGAUAGGAUAAUCAUCCUAACCCUGGGAACAGGAUAGUUCAGCUAAACUAACUAGCCUUGAAGUUUAACUAUUAGCCGUGGCAACUUUAACUAGAUGUAUUAAUCUUUACAAAUCUUUGGUUUAAAACAUUAUAAAUUUUUAAUAAUAGUUCAAGUAGAAUUUUCAACUUUUUACUUGCCAGUAUUUACUUAUUGGAAGAAUUUUAUCUCCAAUCUGAAAGAGUUGAAUAUUAGUCUCAAUAGUUUGUAAUAGAUUUAUCAUAUUUCUUAAAAGAUAUUUUUUAAGUUCCUUAAACCUAAUGAGAUGUGGCAAUUUGUUCGUAUACCGAGUAUAUCCGGCAGUUUUUAACAGCUAAAAUGUUGUGAAACUAGUGGUACAUUUAUUAAAAAUUUUAAAUACUUUAAAUCAAAGAUCUAUAAAGUUUAUGAGAUCUAGUUGAAGUUGCUGAGGCUAGUAGCUAAGCCUUAGGGAUAGCAGUUCUUGUUAAACUAUCCUGUUCAUGAUGAUAGGAUAAUUAUCCUAUCAUCGGGAUCGUAUAUAUAUAUAUAUAUAUAUAUAUAUAUAUAGAGUUGGACUGGGCUACUAUUAGUUGCAAAAUUCUAUUGUUGUUACCAGUUUUUUAGCCUUUGGAUCAACUCUUUUCAUCAUUUGGGACCAUUCAACCCUAGGGGGACCACUCAACUCUAAACUGACUAAUAUCAUCUUAAUCCUACAAUUUUUCAUCCAAGGGUUAAAAACUUGAUAGCAAAAAGAGGGUUUUACUAUUAACAGUAUUCCAGUCUAAUUCUAUGUAUAAAAGUAUAGAUGCAACCUAAUUUGCUUAAAUAUAGACCGAGAAGGAAACAAUGUAUACCAAGAGUUGUUUGACUAUAAAUCACACCAUCCAAAACGCAUUACCUCGUUUUUUCUAUCAUUACAUGAAGCAAUUUGUUCCAGAUUUCAUCACCGUGUAAUUAAGUUCGUGCAAGGGAUAAGCAAUUUCAUAAAGAGCGCCGACAGACAUAGUCAGGUAACAUAUAAGUGCCCUGCAGCCUGCAUAGUGCCUUAAAGACAGCAGCCAGCAGAAGUGGAGUGAAGAAAAUAUAUUCCAAAUUUCGUCAUUGUGUAAUUAAGAUUGCGUAUGGGAUAAGCAAUUUCAUAAAGAGUGCUGACAGACUUAGCCAAGGAACAUAUAAGUGCCCCGCAAUUUGCAAGGGAAGACUAAAACCCAUCCUCUUAAGUGUAGGUAAGUAGCAAAAAACAAAAGGAUGAUAAAGAAAACAGGGAAGUUGCAAGCAGUAUAGGCGUGCACACACACACUCACAUAUAAGUAUAGAAUGCAGCCUUAUUUAGGGAUGUUAAUGGAUAUGGAUAUCCGAAAUUUUAUCCGAACCCGAACCGAAUAAAACGGAUAUAUCCGAUGAAUAUGGAUAUAAAAAAUAAAAAUCCGACGGAUAUGGAUUUUGAUUGUACCCGACCCGAAUCCGAACCCGACCCGAAACCAAAUUUAUUUUAUAUUAUAUAUAAUAUAUAUAUAAAAAUUUGAUGUUAUAAUUGAAUUUGUAUUUUAAAAAUUUAGAUUUAAUAUAAUAUAUUUUGAAAUAUUAAAAAAAAAAUAAUUAUUUCGGGUUCAAAUUUCGGGUUCGGGUUCGGGUUCGGGUUCGGGUUUCGGAUUUUUGGUCGAGUUCGGGUUUGGAUAUGGAUUUUUAAAAUCCGUCGGGUUCGGGUUCGGGUUCGGGUUCGGGUCUUGGGUUUGGAGUCGGGUUCGGGUUCGGGUUUUUAAAAAUCCGACCUGUUGACAUCUCUAGCCUUAUUUGAGACUUAGAUAAAAAGUCAAGUUGCAAAUAAGGAGAAAAUGAAGGAGCAAACUUUUUCUGCAGUAAUUUGCAAAUAAAAGGCUGUAUCUAAUGAAGCACCAAAGGAGGAGCUGAUAGCGGUUGCCCGCAAGCGGGGCCGUCCAAAUCUGCUCGGCAAUGGCAAAGCCUUUGUCUCACUUGCAUAUCACCGGGGCCAAAAAAAAUUUUAAAAAAGCCACCAAUAAUUUUAAAAAAAGGAACGAAAGCAUAAGACAUCUCCACCAAUAAUUAUAAAUUGUAUAGAUUAUCCCACCUUUAUAUUUGAGAACAAAAACAAACUAUACUGUUCUAAAAAGCUUAACCUAUUUAUAGAAAAAUUAUAGAAGGUCAGAAGAGAAGAGAAGAGGAAGACUUAAGACAUCUCCACCAUCUCUCUCAGUAGAUUCAAAAAAUUAAGAAAAAAUAUAGCUAUCACAUCGUUACUGUCGAAUCAGUGGGCUGGCAAAGCCCUCGGCGAGCGUAGCAACCGGGACGAACGGAUCGGCCAAGUAGGGUAGGUGUAGGAGGCCCUAAUCAUGAUGUCUACCGAUGGACAGCUCAGGCAUCGGAGGAGCGGAUGGAGGAGAGGAUGGAGGUGAGAGAGGAGAGAGAGAGAGAGAGAGAGGUGCUUUGGGCAUCGGAGGAGGCACGCGCAAGGAUCGCGCGGAGGGGAAGGGGAAGAGAGCCAUCCGAUCAACAAAAUGGAGGGUGUAGAUUCAGUGUCUUUUGGGAAAGGGAAAGGGCAUAUUUUGGGAAAGGGAAAGGACAUAUUUCGGGGCCUUUGGAUUUGUAGAGAAGUGUUGUAAACCGUUGGAUCUGAAACAAAAGAAGAGGCAACGAGGACAUGCCACGUGGCGGAAUAGUAGUCUCAAAUAGUAAGAUGGUAUAGAUCCUGCUUUGAAGCUAAUAUAAAAAAAGAAAAAUCCUUUUAAUAUUCCAAGUUCUUUCAAAUAUAUACCCAAAGUUAAAUUUUGUUUUAGUGAACGGUUAGAAACAGCUGUUAUUUUUAUAAAAUUACCAUUUUACUCUUUCAAAUAUAUUUUUCUACCGCCACCAAUUUUUUUGUUUGCCCUUAAGUUAGAGAUAAAACAAAAGUAUUUUAAUUUUUUAUCCUUUUAAAUAUAUUUUUCUAUCAAAACUAACUUUAUAAUGGCUUAAUCGAUACUAACAACGAGGUUAUUUUUGAAUAAUGAAAAAAAAAUACAAAGAUUAUAUUUGAAAUAAAAAAUAUAUAUAAUAUAUUUUAAAAAUUUUGAGGGUAUAUAGGUAAUUACCCCAUUCAAUUAAGAUGGAAAUGCUAUGUGGAAUUAAGGAUGUCAAAUGUGCACGGAUUCCUAAAAUUUUAUUCGAACCCGAAUCCGAAUAUGAACGGAGCGGAUUUAUUCGAUGUUUAACGGAUAUGGUUUUAGAUAUGAAUAUCAAAAAUAAAAACGUAACGGAUAUGGAUUCAGAUAUAAAUUUUGAUUUUUACCAGACUUUAACCUGAACUUGAUCCGAAUCUGAAUUUAUUUUACAUUACAUAUAACAUGUAUAAAAAAUUUGAUAUUAUAUUUGAAUUUAUAUUUUAAAAUAUUAUAUUUAAUAUAAUAUAUUUUGAAAUAUUGAAAAGAUAAAUAAUUAUUUGAAGUUCGGAUUUUCGGGUUUAGAUUUGAAUUCAGAUUUCAUAUUUUUGGUGAAAUUCGGAUUUGAAUAUAAAUCUUUAAAAUUCAUUGAAUUUAAAUUUAAUUUAAAUUUAAAUUUAGAGUUAGGAUCGAAUUUAAAUUUUUCUAAAUUUAUUUUGAAUCCGACCCGUUGGAAUCCCUAC
rnacentral:lncRNA from 1 species